rnacentral:rRNA from 1 species
UAAGCAUAUCAAUAAGCGGAGGAAAAGAAACCAACAGGGAUUGCCUUAGUAACUGCGAGUGAAGCGGCAAAAGCUCAAAUUUGAAAUCUGGGGCCUCACAGCCUCCGAAUUGUAAUUUCACGAUACGUUUUCGACUGAAGGCUCUGCUUUAAGUUCCUUGGAACAGGACGUCACAGAGGGUGAGAAUCCCGUGAUAGGUGGAGCCUGAUGCAUAUGAUACGUAUUCAACGAGUCGAGUUGUUUGGGAAUGCAGCUCAAAAUGGGAGGUAAAUUUCUUCUAAAGCUAAAUAUUGGCGAGAGACCGAUAGCGCACAAGUAGAGUGAUCGAAAGAUGAAAAGCACUUUGAAAAGAGAGUUAAAAAGUACGUGAAAUUGUUGAAAGGGAAGCGCUUGAGACCAGACUCAAUCUGUAGUGAUCAAUUUGGCUUCUGUCAGAUGCACUUGCUACUUAUUGGGACAGCAUCGGUUUUGGCGGUGGGAUAAAGUCUUGAGGAAUGUAGCUAUCUUCGGGUAGUGUUAUAGCCUCUUGAGUAAUGCCACCAGCUGGGACCGAGGACCGCGCCGCAAGGCUAGGAUGCUGUCAUAAUGGUCUUCAGCGACCC